rnacentral:rRNA from 1 species
UGGGGAAUUUUGGACAAUGGGCGCAAGCCUGAUCCAGCCAUGCCGCGUGCAGGAUGAAGGCCUUCGGGUUGUAAACUGCUUUUGUACGGAACGAAAAGGUGCCUUCUAAUAAAGGGCGCUCAUGACGGUACCGUAAGAAUAAGCACCGGCUAACUACGUGCCAGCAGCCGCGGUAAUACGUAGGGUGCGAGCGUUAAUCGGAAUUACUGGACGUAAAGCGUGCGCAGGCGGUUUUGUAAGACAGAGGUGAAAUCCCCGGGCUCAACCUGGGAACUGCCUUUGUGACUGCAAAGCUGGAGUGCGGCAGAGGGGGAUGGAAUUCCGCGUGUAGCAGUGAAAUGCGUAGAUAUGCGGAGGAACACCGAUGGCGAAGGCAAUCCCCAGGGCCUGCACUGACGCUCAUGCACGAAAGCGUGGGGAGCAAACA